AUUUUAAAUAAAAAGUCAAGCUUUGUUUUCUGGACUAUUAUACUACAGAUUACAUUUGCCCUAUAACUUUCUAGGAAUCAGACCUGUCUAUACCAGUUGCUGGUCAUAUCACUUCAAAUUUAACUCCUUAACAUUACAACGCUUGUAUGGUGGCUUUUACUUUUGAAGUAAGGAAGGUUAUUGAGUUUCCAUGUGUCCUACAUCUAUUUUUAUUCUUCUGCAAACUACAAAAUAGAUCUGACUAUAGCCAAAUCGAAGAUUUCUUUUCCCAAAUGGGCAAAUUUAUGCCUACAUUUUUAAAUUCGAUUCAUAAUUUGCUACACUUGGUUUGUAAACAAACCCUUAUAUCAUUGAUUUUUUAAUCAAGUACACUGACACUAGUGUCAGCAGUGAUCUGAAGGCUUGCUACAGAAUUGGACAUCAUGG